rnacentral:rRNA from 3 species
AAAUUGAAGAGUUUGAUCAUGGCUCAGAUUGAACGCUGGCGGCAGGCUUAACACAUGCAAGUCGAACGGUAACAGGAAGCAGCUUGCUGCUUUGCUGACGAGUGGCGGACGGGUGAGUAAUGUCUGGGAAACUGCCUGAUGGAGGGGGAUAACUACUGGAAACGGUGGCUAAUACCGCAUAA